rnacentral:rRNA from 1 species
UGGGGAAUAUUGCACAAUGGGGGAAACCCGUGAUGCAGCGACGCCGCGUGAAGGAAGAAGUAUUUCGGUAUGUAAACUUCUAUCAGCAGGGAAGAAAAUGACGGUACCUGACUAAGAAGCCCCGGCUAACUACGUGCC